rnacentral:rRNA from 1 species
CUGUACAGUUCAGAGUUGAUCCUGGCUCAGGAUGAACGCUGGCGGCGUGCUUAACACAUGCAAGUCGAACGAAGCAUUAAGAUGAAUUUUCUUCGGAAAUGAAGUUUUGAUGACUUAGUGGCGGACGGGUGAGUAACGCGUGGGUAACCUACCUUAUACAGGGGGAUAACAGUUGGAAACGACCGCUAAUACCGCAUAAGCCUCCAGUAUCGCAUGAUACAGAAGGAAAAGAUUUAUCGGUAUAAGAUGGACCCGCGUCUGAUUAGCUAGUUGGUGAGGUAAUGGCUCACCAAGGCAACGAUCAGUAGCCGACUUGAGAGAGUGAUCGGCCACAUUGGGACUGAGACACGGCCCAA